ACCGUUUGAGGUUUUGGAGCGUGUAGGCCCGGUAGCGUAUCGACUCGCUCUACCGCCAAACCUAUCGGGGGUACACAAUGUGUUCCAUGUAUCGGUCCUUCGGAAGUACAUCCACGACCCGGCUCAUGUUUUGGACGCUACGCCUUUGGAGCUGAGGGAUGAUUUGAGCUUUGAAGAGCAACCCUUGAGGAUUUUGGCUCGCGAGGUGAAAAGAUUGCGGAACCGAGAAGUUCCUUACGUGAAGGUGCUUUG
rnacentral:lncRNA from 1 species